rnacentral:rRNA from 1 species
AGGCUCACGCGCACGGGAGAGGUGGAUAUUUGACGCGUGAUAAAAGGCCUCGGGUUUAAAUACUUUAGCGGGGAGGAAGGGAGUAAAGUUAAUACCUUUGCUCAUUGACGUUACCCGCAGAAGAAGCACCGGCUAACUCCGUGCCAGCAGCCGCGGUAAUA